AUGGGUGUCCAUCAAAUUAACGCAAGACUUAACUCCUCUGAACAAAGUACAUCCCUGUCUUUUAAGACAGAAACAGACAACAAGCCCUCACCACCUCCGAGAACGCAGGGUAUGAUGCACUCUAAAAAACGCUGGGUUGUUUUUUUCAACCCAACUGCUGGGUUGAGGCCGUUGGAUAGGACUUUGGGAUGUUUUAACCCAAGUUUGGGUUGAAAAUAAGGUUUAAAAAAAAAAAGUUUAACCCAGCGGGUCUGGGUUGAGGACGCGGACGUGAAGGAGAGCACGCACGUCACGUCAAGAUCGUACGUCUCCAGUGCGAGCAGCCGCCAUUUUCUCAGCGUGAUAGAAGCGAGAAGCGAGUGAAAGACUAUGGUAAGUAAAUAUUUAAAAUGUAAAGUUAUCUUUUAUUGUUUACCAGGUUGUAUGAAAGGCGGAAUGUUUUAUGAAAGGCGGAAACAAAGGAGCUUAACGUUAUAUAUAUAUAUAUAUAUUUAAAAAAAAACGGACGCGGUUUUCGCCUCAGACACGGAGGUCUUAACUGCCUCAUGUAACGGUACUGAACGGAGGAUGUACUUUUAAUAUAACGUCUGUGAAUGUAUUUUGUCAUAUUUACAUAAGAUUUAACAUUAUCUGUACUUUUUGAGGCGUUAACAGACGGUUAUGGUCACGGUUACGCUCAUGUGAAUUUGUCUUUUUUUUUCGCGGUUAAACUGAAUGUAUGUUUGUCUCCUAAAGGAAACGGCAUUGUGUAGUAAAGACUAGCAUAAUUAUUUUGAGGCUGUUGAAGUGGUAACUGUUAAAAGUAUGUUUUACAUGUAAUAUUUCAGACUUGUCAAGCUUGUGUCUUCAUUGUCCUCGCGCUGAGAGUUAAAGACACAGAAGCUGUUUGUGUGAGGAGUCACAGACCUGUGUGAGGAUGAGGAGGAGGUGUUUUUCUGAAGAGAGGGACAGACGGUUUAAGGAGAGUAAACUUCAGAAUAACAUCAAGUUAUCUUUAUUUUUACUAAGACUAAAAUAAUGUUGUUGUUUUUUUUAGAUGUUGCAAUCCAGAGACAAGAUAACUUCAUUCUUUUGAGACUGAUGUAAGUUAAGUUAUUAUUACUUUUUUUUUUUAGAAAAUUAAUGUUUAUGUUGUGUCCUGCCUGUUAACU
rnacentral:lncRNA from 1 species